rnacentral:rRNA from 1 species
AUGGUGCGGCUUAGGUCAACUAAUACAAAUAAGAUACAGUUCACUCAACGAUUGCCCUUGGGUCCCGAACUCCAUAUGGGGAAGGAACAUUGUUGUUUGCGAGGUCUCGAUCAUUUACAUGGACCCAUUUCUCAUUCCAUUUGUGGGAAUUUGAUGAUUUAUAAACCGUCCCCAACGAGCGAAAGGUUCAUGUUUGAACAUGAUGAAUCACUUCGUGCCGACCUGUUGCCCAUAAACUUUCCUGCCUCAUAUGAGAAUGGAAAACUGGAAGAUUUUCUGCAUCGGUGGAUGAAGAAUCACGAACAUAAGAAUUUCUGGUUUAGCAUGUUCCCAGAAAGAAGAUACUUUUUUUCCAUUCGAGAAACGAGGAGCACGACUGAAGUGGCUAUACAUACAAAUCCAUUUACGGAUCUAUAUGCUCCGAUUGGAACUGGAAGUUCCAGAACUGGCGGCUGGUAUACCACCAUAAUGAAAUUGCCUUUUAUUUUUAGUAUUCGGAUAGGAUUUCUGUAG